GUCGGUCAUACAGGGACUCUGAGGAGAACAAGACAUCACAAAAAGCAAUCAAAGACACUCAUGAGUUCAAAACACCUUUAAAGAAGGAAGAGAACGAGCUGCGGAAACGGAUGCCUACUGGGAGAAAUAAAAACAACGACCACCCAAAACCACCAUCUCUGAAAGGAA